CAGUAGCCACGGUAAAACGAAGGGUGCAAGCGUUAAUCGGAAUUACUGGGCGUAAAGCGUGCGUAGGCGGUUCGUUAAGUCUGUUGUGAAAUCCCCGGGCUCAACCUGGGAAUGGCAAUGGAUACUGGCAAGCUAGAGUGUGUCAGAGGAUGGUGGAAUUCCCGGUGUAGCGGUGAAAUGCGUAGAGAUCGGGAGGAGCAUCAGUGGCGAAGGCGGCCAUCUGGGACAACACUGACGCUGAGGCACGAAAGCGUGGGGAGCAAACAGGAUUAGAUACCCGAGUAGUCCCUGUCUCUUAUAC
rnacentral:rRNA from 1 species